AGUGAACGCUGGCGGUAGGCCUAACACAUGCAAGUCGAACGGCAGCACAGUAAGAGCUUGCUCUUACGGGUGGCGAGUGGCGGACGGGCGAGGAAUACAUCGGAAUCUACUUUUUCGUGGGGGAUAACGUAGGGAAACUUACGCUAAUACCGCAUACGACCUACGGGUGAAAGCAGGGGAUCUUCGGACCUUGCGCGAUUGAAUGAGCCGAUGUCGGAUUAGCUAGUUGGCGGGGUAAAGGCCCACCAAGGCGACGAUCCGUAGCUGGUCUGAGAGGAUGAUCAGCCACACUGGAACUGAGACACGGUCCAGACUCCUACGGGAGGCAGCAGUGGGGAAUAUUGGACAAUGGGCGCAAGCCUGAUCCAGCCAUACCGCGUGGGUGAAGAGGGCCUUCGGGUUGUAAAGCCCUUUUGUUGGGAAAGAAAAGCAGCAGGUUAAUACCCCGCUGUUCCGACGGUACCCAAAGAAUAAGCACCGGCUAACUUCGUG
rnacentral:rRNA from 1 species